rnacentral:lncRNA from 1 species
GCAGAAUUCCAUGAUUGUUCUCUCAGCCACUCCCAUACUAGUGAACCAAGCACUGGUAAAAAAUUUGGAGACUGAGGCUGGUGACAUUGGUUCAGAGCCUUGACGAUUACCAGGGCCAGCAUUUCUGCGAUCCUCCUUACCUUUUCCUCAUGCCUCUUCACUUGUGAUCACAUUAUGGCUACUGCUGCUCUGGACCUCGGUCACAUCUGUGAUCAAGGGUGGAGGAAGGUCAAAGGGAAAAGGAUGUGUCAGCGGAUUUCUUCUUACAUCUCAUUGGACAACGUGGAGGAGGUCAUCGAGAGGAGGAUGCAGGGAUUACAGAGAGUCCAUGUGGACAGCUCCCAGGAUUGGGAGUGCACUGGUGAGUAGGUUUCAAAAUCGAGACAUCAUAACAGUGAUGGUGGCUUGGCCUAGGCCCUGAAGAGAUGGCAGUGGAUGGCUUCAAGGCAUAUUUUGGAGGUGGAAUCAGCAAGAGCAGGUGAUUAUUAAAUGGGGUGGACAAAAGAGGGAAAAAGCAGAAAGAUGUCAAGGAUGAUUUUAG